GGUAAUUUUAUCCGUUUGGUUUGGCACGGAUUGCUGGGUUAGAAGCGUGCGCUCUCCUCCCAUCUCUCACUCUUCCUAUGUCGCUCCUACUCAAACCCUAGCAGCCACAACACCAUCUCUGGAAUAGCAUCGGCUCCUGCUUCCUAAAACCAAAACCACACAAACUGCCCUCCAUUUCUGUAACUCGAGAGCUUCGGUGAGAUGAAGGAGAGGAGCAGGGAGAUGGGCUCGAGUCCGCCAACGGCGGAAGAGAUCUUCAGGGAUUACUGUGCUCUGAGAACCGACGCCGUCCACUCUUUAACUAACGAAAGUAUUGUCAUUGGACAAAAACUCUUACAAGCAAGCUGCAAAUCUGUUCAAAGAAACCAAGAUCUGUUAAUAUCAAAUACGUCAGCCAUUGGCAAUGGAAUAGCUGGACAUGGAAGCUAUAACUAGGUUAAGGAGCCUGGUGGAUCUAAUAAAACGACUAUUGCUGCAUAUAUAGAGGACGAAUAUUGGGCUCCUCAAGAUUUCAAGAGGCUAUUGUCUGCAAAAUUAAAAUUAUUGACAACAAGUCGUAAACUGAUUAAGAUUCUUGCUAGAAGGAGAAAUAUCGAGGAUAUUAUGAUACUUAAUGCUUGCUGGUACUUGGAUAUAUAAUUUACUUGGUCUACAAUACCGUCUUGUUCAUGUGCUUCAAUUGGGAUUUUCAUUUUUAAAAAGGCUAAAUAGCCAAAAUGGUCCCUAAGAUUUGCAUAAUUAAUAGAAAUGGUAUUGAAAAUCAAUAGAAAUGGUCCCUGAGAUUGUCAACCAUCCCUGAUUUUGGUCCUUCUGUUAAAAACUCUUUAGACAAUUUUCAAAGCUUUGUAACUCAAUUGAUUCUUAACCAAAUUCGACCCAUAAUAUAUCAAAAUGAAGAUAGGAAAGUGUAGAACAAGAUUAUACCUAUUUGAAAGCC